GCGCCCUUAGUGUAAUGGCUUUGCACACGAGCUUCCAAACCUCUUAGAGUGGGUUCGAUUCCUACAGGGCGUGC
rnacentral:tRNA from 6 species